GGUUGUGACCAUAAUGUGGUGGCUUCUCUCCCUUAGGUGGUUUGCCAACUGGGGUUGGUGGCUUGUAUGAGUCUUCAGCAUUCUCAGCAGGAGGGUGACCAGGGUUGUGACCAUAAUGUGGUGGCUUCUCUCCCUUAGGUGGUUUGCCAACUGGGGUUGGUGGCUUGUGUUCUGGGAGUGGCUUCUCCCCCUUGGGAGGUUUUUCCAAUGGGGUUGGUUUGUGUUCAGGAGGUGGCUUCUCCACUGGAGGCUUGUGUUCAGGAGGUGGCUUCUCCACCGGAGGCUUGUGUUCAGGUGGUGGCUUCUCCACCGGAGGCUUAUGCUCUGGUGGUGGCUUCUCGAAUGGGGGAUGCUUAGGAUAAUCAGCAAGUGAGGGGGCGGUGAGAACCACCAGGCCAAGCAACACCACUAGCAAAUAUGUAGGAGACAUCUUUGGGUUUGGGCUCAGAUGGUGCAAAACUAGGAGAAUUGGCUAGCCUUUUAUAGCGGAUCGUACCCAAUAAUGAAAUGACACGUGUCAUUAUGACCCAUGUGUAAUGGGGUCGAUUUGGGUCCUACAGUGUUGAAAACUUCGACAUCCACUUUUGGCCUUUUGCUUUCUCUACAGCCGCCUUGCUUUUUCCCUCUUUCCUUUUGUUUUCCUCCUGCCCCAUUCUAUCAACUAAACACAAUUAUGUAGUUGUUUAAUUCUUAAAUGAGAUAUUAUCCGUCAAUCGUAUUAUAUUUUAUCAAGAGAGAACGGAGUGCAAUGUGGCUGUAAUUUUAUCGUUUAGUUUUAUCUCUUGGACCACUGCAUUUUUGUUAAGAGGUGCAAUAAUACACGUCUUUAUCUGCCAUUCAAUAUUUACAGUAAAGAGAGGGCACAAAACUCUUCACUUCGCACCAUAAUUAUUUUGUUUUCUGGACACCCCGGGGCCCUUUGGUUGGUUUGGGGGUCAGAAAGUGAACAUCAUAGGGGGUUUUUCCCUUAUGUGCAUUUGUAUCUGAUGGCUUUAACUCGCCUUGUUACUACAAAGAAACUGUCACAGAUAGGAACUUAUUCCAGGCUGAGUAUCUCCUCAUAGACCCUAUAAAAGAAGACAAGUCAUAAUGAACAUCUAACCUUUGUUCAAUUUGAUUCAAUGCCCCCAUUGUGUCCAUCUCACAAAUCUGAAUUAUUAUAUCCAUUGAAUACAUAAAUUAAUGAAGAAAAUAUGAAACCCAAGAUACAUCUCUGCACAACCUCAACCCUGGUUGCUAUGUUUCCCUUCUAUUCACAUGAUUUGAUGCUAAUUGCCAAACUUGCAACAAGCCCUGAGUUUGACACCUAGUAUCGAUGGGCGAAUUUAAAGUCUCCUCCAAACAUAUAUUCCACAGCUUGAAGCUCACAGAAGAUGUUACAGGCAGGGAAAAACCUUCAGAGUUCGCUACCAAAGAUAAUUAUUAAGGAGAUAUCACAAAGAGAAUUCCAAGGGGUCUGAAUCAAAGACAAAUUGGUCGUUCGUGGGGGUUCUUACUUUCUUUUGGGUAUAACUCACUGAGGGCACUGUCUUUGUUAUUUGCAUUUCACAUUUAGAGUUCUGUUCUGGAAACAUAUAAAAGGAGCAUCAUUUUGUUCUUGGGUAACCCAUAGUCGUGAGUGGGUCCAUUUGCAUGCUACUUAGUUGAAAAGUUGGACCAUUUGCUCCGACGCCUACCUCCCGGAUUCCAUGCUCGGAUAAAACAAGAAUAAAAAAAAUAUUUAUAAUUUACAAAUGGGGGAAAGAAAAAAAUGUCAACAACAAACCAGGAAAAAAGAGUAGUAAAAUUCAUGUCACAUGCUAGUGAGAGAAGGGGUUGUUACACUCACUCGAAGUUCUUUCCAAAAUAUCGCAUGGUAUUUUAUUUUAUGUGUCAGCGCAGUUGUGAAUGGAACGUGCAAAAGUCCAAAUUGGCGUUUUUCCUUUUCCCGUGUAGGAUGGCGACCUUUAAUAAAUAUUUAAAACAAAAAACGAAAAAAAGGAGGGAAAAGGGAUCAGAAAAGAUAAAACAAUGUGUACAAGAGCUCAAUUAGUUUGCAAAUUACUGUUUGGAUUUUGAUAGUAUUUUAUUUGUCCAUCUAUAUUUGAUGGAAAAGAGAAUUUAAGAUAUUUCUGAAACAAAAGCAUUAGUGUAAAACUAAAUUAAGGUAUAAUUAAGUUAGUUCAAUGCAUUAAUUUAAGAAACUUGAUCUAUCCAAAGUACAAAAUUAGAUGAAAUCCAUUUCAAUGGUUAAAAUGAUCAAAAUCAAACUUUUUCUAAGUAUUUUUUAAAAGCAUCAAUAUUAAAAGACAAUUUUAUAUUUAGUCGGAGUUUGGACAAAACCAAAAAGCACACAAAAUCCAAGCGACCAUCUCUAGCUUGGAUAGUCACUUGAUCCCACCUAGAGAUGUGCAUGAGUAAAAGGAUUUGAAAAUGGAAAUUGACUAAAUAUUUAGUUGAUCAAUUAAAUUUGCAAUGUCAUAUGCAAUCCUAAUAGCUAGUCAUCUAAUCAAUUAGGUAGUCAAUCAAGUGUUUGUAAUGACUAUUUUGUACAAAAAACCACAUGUAUAGUUAAAUAUAAUGCAUUUCAUUUAUAAAUCUUCUAAUUCUUGAAUAACGAUCCUAUCAUCCUUUGAAAAUUUUUAUUACACCUUUUUUACUUUUGUUCUAAAACUUACAUAUCACCCUUAAUUGUACCAUGAGAACCUAGCUAUUUUUUUUUUUUUUGUAAUUCAUCAAAGUUAGCUUUUGUAUUCAUUGUUGUAUUAUUUUUAGUAUAACUUAGAAAGCUAGUGUUUUCAAGUGAGUAAAAUUAACUUGUAAAUAUUGUAAAGAUUCAUUGAUAUGUAUCUUAAACUAAGUGUACAAAUUAAAACAUUUGCUAGUAGAUUUUCUCAAAAUUUAGAAUAGAGCUUGAGGCUAUUGAAAUAGGUGGGGUUACACCAAACCACAUCACAUCGUUGUUUGCACCUUUUUUCACUCUCUUUUACUUAGUUUCUCUAUAUUUGUUGUCUAGUAAUAUCCUAUAGGCUUGAUGGGUUAGGGAGCAUCCCUUUGUGAAAAAAUUUCAUUCAAUUCUUAGUUGUAUUACGCAUAUAUAAAAUGCCUCAUUGUUUUAAUGGUAUUCAGUCGUGGCAUCACAGAUAUGGGCAUCUAAAUUUUAAAAGUUUGAAACUUUUGUAAAGCAUGUUGAUAAAAUCCAUGAGAGUUGUGUACUUGGGAAGCAACAUCGAGGUGACUUUAUUUUUUUUUCCUUUUAUAAUGCCACACCUAAGUCCGGUUUCUAAAUGCUAAAGUGAAAGGGUAGGUAUGGACCAUUGAAAUGUGAUCACAACUUUUGGCCUUUUCCUUUCUCUGCAGCCAUGUUGUCUCUUUUUUCUUUUGCAUGAUUUUCUUACCAAAACAGAAUCAUAGACUUGUUUAGUCUCUAAGCUACUAUAUUAUAUCUCGGUGGACUUUUAAGAGUGCAACCGACAUAGAGCACAUGCAAGUGGGCAUAUGGGACAUGAAAUUUCUUCUUACAAAGAUUGCAUGAUUUUUAUAUUAGAGUUGUUCACGUGCAAUGUAUUUAGCUUGUUUUGCAGUUAAAUUAAUUGGAUAAGUAAACAUUGGCAUUUCUAAAUCGACUGUGAAGUGCUUCAUGUACGUGUAAAGUAUUAGAAAUUUCUUUCUUGGCAACUUGUUUUUUCCUUGCCAUCUACUGGUAGGUUUGACUAAAAUUAUAUUCCCUGUCAUGCUAAUUAAUUUUCAUGUGCAUGCUCAAAAGAAGAGUAUGACCUUAGUGCACCAAAAUCACUUUGAUUAAUUUGUGAUAGGUUUUUUUGCAUCAUUUAGAUAAUGUUUAGUUCUAAGAAAAAUUUAUAUAAAAAUGGUUUAUUUAUCUUACAUAUAUAUAUAUAUAUAUAUAUUUUUUUUUUUUUCAUUUUUUUUUCUUCUAUUUUAUUUAUUUAUUUUAUUUUCCUUAUGUUUUCCUCACAUUUUCCGGAACUAAACAUAGUCUUACGAAAUCAACAAUUGCCUUCAACUGAGUAGAUUCUGUUGUUUUAGCAAUGUUAGGCUGCUAACUUGUGGUGGUACGAACCAAAUGACCCAUGUUAAUCUUGGCUUGGUUUGAUUUGGCUCUAUCUCAGAGAGCUAAAGGAUCACGUCAACUCUGGUUUCUACUAUUCAGGUCCAUUCCCAGAUGAACUGGUUCAAAUUUGAGAAAAUGGUAACAGACCUUUAGUGAUGUUGGUUUGGAGCCAGUUGCCAAACCCGCCCUGAGCUUUACCACUAAUGUCAAGGGAGAAAGCCAUUUGAACAAAAACAAUAGCUUCAAGAGACUGAAUCGUGGAUGAAAUCUGAUCCACAUUUCUUCUCAUUUUGGGAAAAAAUGAGAACUUAACUACAAAGAUUCUACUGCCUCAUUCAUAGUGCUUUUCCUGAUCCAAGGUUGGUUCGUUUCCCAAAUUGUGAGGUGCACGUGCCACUCUCACGCUCAGGAGUGUAUCCACGUGGUGGACAUCAGAUGGUGGCUUAAUAUCUGGUGUCGGUGGCUUUACUUUACUAGGAGAGUAGUGUGUCUUCAUCUCAUUCACUGCCGGAGGGUGGCGUAAGCAGUGACGCUAAGGUGGGGCACAGUCAAUAUCAUUUGCAUUUGACCAUUAUAGUUUUCUCCCGGCUUGAAAGUAACCUUAUCGUGAUAAAGGAUUACUAGCACUAGUUCAGAUGACCGUCAUGUUAAUUCGGACCAUGUUUGUGUCACAUUAUCAGCAACCAUGUGUUUAUGGUUCAUGCUAUCUGCAACUAAACUUGAUAUAUAACCAGGUGAACUUCAAUCAAAAUUCUGGAAGUACUCUUGUGAUAGAUGGUGCCUGUCUGCAGAGUCCAUCAAUUGAAAAAUGGAGUGAGUGUAUCUAUAAGAGGGAAGGCUUGGCAAAUGUUCAGUUUUCUGGGAAUUCAACAAGGAUCUAAAAUAGAUUGUUUUCUUUGCCGACUUCAAUGGUUGAAAUUUGAGAAGAUUGUGUCCACAUAUCACAACUAUUACUGGUCCUUCUGUUGCAAUUUAUCCUGUAAGGCUCUAACAUGUCUUCCAAUUCCCACUUCCCUGUUACUCCAGGAAAGCUAUUUCUGUCAUUGUGAAGAAGAAAAGAGAAUGUACAUAUCGAUGCUUUUAAGUGACUGGAGCAUUCAUAUCAGGUGGUCUGCAGCCAUAUAUGCCACUUUGUGAAGGUUGGAACAGUCAAUCACUAGGCUAUAUAUUGGUGUGGCCCAGCCACUUCAAUCAAGGACAAGUCUUCAUACUUAAAGUCAAAUUCUGCCUUUAGUCUCAUUAUAAAUUGCUGUUUAAAUAUUAAGCAAACUUUUGUUUAAUGCGAUUAAGACAGUACUAACUCAAUACUUGUUCUAUUUUUGGAUGCAAAUGCUUGAUGGUUUCAUCAUUGGAUGGGAUAAAGGUGCAUUCAUGAUUAUGAAUACUUGUAGUUAUAUUUUCAUUCUCUUUUUUCUCAAUGAGACUUGUUGGCACAAUGUUGCUGUUCAGAAACCUACCUCUCCAUGGAAAAUAAGUUGCGAUUGAUAGUACUGGAUAUGUUCAAGAAAGCUAAAUAUAGAUAGCACAAAAUAUUAUCGAUAUAAAUAGCAUUAACAGCGUACGUAUGUCUCAAUGCUCAUCAGCUAUAAGCAUGGGACAAACACUUACUAUGAGCAACUUACGUCAAAAUUCCAGAAUAGGACAUAGAAGUGACAGAUCUAUAUAUAUAGAACACUGCAUAUGAGUCACAAGAAAGGAAAUUACGGGUGCAUAGCAGCUCUUAUUUUACAUACUACUACUCAUACUGAUCAAAGUCACUCAGUUGGGAUGGGUGGGAGUAGGAGGUUUGUGGGGUGGCUUGUGCGGAGGAGUUGGCAGCUUCUUUCCAGGACCUGGUUGCUUCUCUGCUGGAGUUGAAGGAGGCUUAAUCUUCCGAGGUGGCUUGUAUGAGUCUUCAGCAUUCUCAGCUGGAGGGUGACCAGGGUUGUGACCAUAAUGUGGUGGCUUCUCUCCCUUAGGUGGUUUGCCAACUGGGGUUGGUGGCUUGUAUGAGUCUUCAGCAUUCUCAGCAGGAGGGUGACCAGGGUUGUGACCAUAAUGUGGUGGCUUCUCUCCCUUAGGUGGUUUGCCAACUGGGGUUGGUGGCUUGUGUUCUGGGAGUGGCUUCUCCCCCUUGGGAGGUUUUUCCAAUGGGGUUGGUUUGUGUUCAGGAGGUGGCUUCUCCACUGGAGGCUUGUGUUCAGGAGGUGGCUUCUCCACCGGUGGCUUGUGUUCAGGAGGUGGCUUCUCCACCGGAGGCUUAUGCUCUGGUGGUGGCUUCUCCACCGGAGGCUUAUGCUCUGGUGGUGGCUUCUUGAAUGGGGGAUGCUGAGGGUAAUCAGCAAGUGAGGGGGCGGUGAGAACCACCAGGCCAAGCAACACCACUAGCAAAUAUGUAGGAGACAUCUUUGGGUUUGGGCUCAGAUGGUGCAAAACUAGGAGAAUUGGCUAGCCUUUUAUAGCGGAUCGUACUCAAUAAUGAAAUGACACGUGUCAUUAUGACCCAUGUGUAAUGGGGUCGAUUUGGGUCCUACAGUGUUGAAAACUUCGACAUCCAGUUUUGGCCUUUUGCUUUCUCUACAGCCGCCUUGCUUUUUCCCUCUUUCCUUUUGUUUUCCUCCUGCCCCAUUCUAUCAACUAAACACAAUUAUGUAGUUGUUUAAUUCUUAAAUGAGAUAUUAUCGGUCAAUCGUAUUAUAUUUUAUCAAGAGAGAACGGAGUGCAAUGCAGCUGUAAUUUUAUCGUUUACUUUUAUCUCUUGGACCACUGCAUUUUUGUUAAGAGGUGCAAUAAUACACGUCUUUAUCUGCCAUUCAAUGUUUACAGUAAAGAGAGGGCACAAAACUCUUCACUGCUCUGCAUGUGUCCCAAAAAUGCGAUUGGACAAAUUAUGAUUUGCAUGCUAAAAAGAGGCAAAUGAGGUUAAUUCGCACCAUAAUUAUUUGGUUUUCUGGACACCAUAAAAAGAUGUUAUACAGGCAGGGAAAAACCUUCAGAGUUAGCUACCAAAGAUAAUUAUCAAGCAGAUAUCACCAAGAGAAUUCCAUAGAGUCUGAAUCAAAGACAGAUUGCUCGCUCGUGGGGGUUCUUACUUUCUUUUGGGUAUAACUCACUGAGGUCACUGUCUUUUUUAUUUGCAUUUCACAGUUAGAGUUCUGCUCUGGAAGGUUUGUUCUGGAAACAUAUAAAAGGAGCAUCAUUUUGUUCUUGGGUAACCCAUAGUCGUGAGUGGGUCCAUUUGCAUGCUACUUAGUUGAAAAGUUGGACAAUUUGCUCCGACGCCUACCUCCUGGAUUCCAUGCUCGGUAAAACAAGAAUAAAAAAAAAUAUAUAAUUUACAAAUGGGGGAAAGAAAAAAUGUCGGAAAAAAUAGUAAAAUUCAUGUCACAUGCUAGUGAGAGAAGGGGUUGUUACACUCACUCGAAGUUCUUUUCAAAAUAUCGAAUGGUAUUUUACUUUAUGUGUCAGCGCAGUUGUGAAUGGAACGUGCAAAAGUCCAAAUUGGCGUUUUUAUUUUUCCCAUGUAGGAUGGUGACCUUUAAUAAAUAUUUAAAACAAAAGACGAAAAAAAAAAGGAGGGAAAAGGGAUCACAAAAGAUAAAAUAAUGUUUACAAAAGCUCAAUUAGUUUGCAAAUUACUGUUUGGAUUUUGAUAGUAUUUUAUUUGUCGUUCUAUAUUUGAUGUAAAAGAGAAUUUAAGAUAUUUCCGAAGCAAAAGCAUUAGUUUGCUCUGUGAUGUCCCACAUCGAAUAGGGGAGAAAGUUUCUGGCGCUAUAUAUGUAGAGGCUCCUCUUAACCAAGUAGAUGCGUUUUAAAACCAUGAGGGCCCCCUUAGGUCCAAAGCGGACAAUAUCUACAUGAUUGGGUGUAAGUCAUUACAAAUGGUAUCAGAGCCGAUCCCCGACCCCGGUGUGGGGGUUUGUUUGGCCCUGUAAGGGGUGUUUGUCUGUUUGACCCCACAAUCCCAUGGGACACAACGAGGACGUUGUGUCUGCAUGGGGGGGCGUUUGUGAUGUCCCACAUCGGAUAGGGGAGAAAGUUCCUAGUGCUAUAUAUGUAGAUGUUUCUCUUAACCAAGUAGAUGCAUUUUAAAAUUGUGAGGGCCUCUUUGGGCCCAAAGCGGACAAUAUCUACAUGGUUGAGUGUAAGUCAUUACAUGCUCCAUGUCAAUUUCAGCAUUUCUCAUAUGUUUCACACAUACACAGAAGAGCAUCGUUUUUUAAAGCAUGCAUUUAUGUUGGAUUAAUUUGGAUUUUGUGGGAACUGGGGCAAGGAUCACAUGGAAGAGAGGUUGACUUUUUUCAGUACUUCAAUGGUUGAAAUAUGUGAAGGCUUGAUUGAUACUAAAGCUUGAAAUUGCGACUCUGUCAUUUGUAAAAAAAUAUGACAGCUUCCAUGCUCUCGUUUGGUUGCAUUGUCCGGUCGAGAGGUGCAAAAAGCAUUCUCUCUCUUCUAAUAGUCUUUUCGUUUAAAUCAAGGGAUUUGCCUUCCCGGUCGAGGUCCAAUAGAGGGUAACGGUCACCUACUAAACAUUAAAUGCUCCAACAACUAGUGAACUGAUCGACCCCAGCUCGACUAGUUGAGGUUACUUUUUGGUUUUCUUGUCUCCCGAGGUUAGAAACCUAUAAAUAGAGAGCUUCACUUCAUUUAUGAGUAAGAGAACACCUAAAUUUAUUUGUUUACCUACUUGUUUUUGCCAUAAAAGCUCUCAUUUCUUUUCUUGGUGUAUUAAAUCUCCAUUUGCAUAUCCUUUAGUGCACCUUUGUGAUUCAUUCUAGCCUUGAGUUGUAUUUAAGCCUUUGUUGAGCUAGGUUGAGAGUUUCAUACUUGUUUAUUGAGUGUUAAAGCCUUCAAGUGAGUUAAAACUUGAAGAGAUUGUGUAAGAGCCCAUUGGAGUCGGAAUCCAAGUGUAAAGGUGAUUAAAAGCUUGGUUGAAGCUUCAAGUUAGUGGAACUCUCACUCGGUUAUGAGCUUGAGAAGAGUGGACAUAGACAAGGCAGUGUCGAACCACUAUAAAAUCUGAGUUUGAUUUCUCUAACCUUAUCUCUUUAUAUUUGCUUCUCUUGUGCUUAAAUUUUUUGUGUUUAAAAAGAAUUUUUAAAAACUCAAUUCACCCCCUUCUUGGGAGUUUUUCUCUUUUAAGAUCAGCUUUUAUUUUCUCAAUUGGUAUCAGAACUAUGCCUCUUGUUUAAGACUUAAUCGUCUAAGAGGAAAUGGCUAAUCCAUCAAGUUCAUCUCACAUUGAAAGUUUUGCAACCAAUAGACUUCUUUUUUUUUUUUUGCGGGAACUGAUUAUCCCUAUUGGAAAACUAAAAUGACUUGGUUUUUACAAUCAAUUGAUUUAGAUGUAUGAGAUGCCAUUGAAGAUGACCUAACUUUUCCUUCAAAACUAGUUGAUGGAGUCAUGGUUCCAAAACCUAAGCAAGAAUGGGAUGAGCGUGAUUGAAGAAAUUUUCAAUUAAAUGCUAAAGUCGUUUAUACUUUGCAAUGCUCUAUGGACAGAAAUGAAUAUAAUAGAAUAUGUCAAUGCAAAUCGGUUAAAGAAAUUUGGAGAUUGCUUGAAAUAACUCAUAAAGGAACAAAUCAAGUUAAAGAGUCAAAAAUCAAUUUACUUGUUCAUAGAUAUGAAUUGUUUUUUAUGAAAGAUAAUGAAACUAUUGUUAAGAUGAUCACUAGGUUCACCAACAUUGUUAAUGGUCUUAAAGCCUUGGGAAAGACCUACAAGGAAUCCGAAAACGUGAUGAAGAUCUUGAGGUCACUUCCAUCAAAGUGGCAUACCAAGGUCACCGCAAUUUAAGAAGCAAAAGACUUGAUCAAGCUACCUUUGGAGGAGUUCAUAGGGUCAUUGAUGACAUAUGAAAUCAAUUUGGCAAAGAAGUAACAAAAAGGUGAAGACAAAAAGAAGAAGAACAUAACUCUCAAAGCUACAACUAAGGAAGAAGAAGUUGAAGAAGAAAAACAAAUUGAAGAAGAUGAAGAUUUAGCCCUCAUCACAAGAAAGUUCAACAAAUUCAUGAGGGGUGAAAGGUUUAGAAGAAGAAGGUUCACUUCUAGAAGAGACUUUUCUAAAAAGGAAUCUUCAUCUAAUGGUGACAAAAAGAGAUGGGAAGAGAAAAGAGACUUGGUGUGUUUCAAGUGCAAGAAACCGGGACACAUUAAAUAUGAUUGUCCUCUCUACAAAAGUGAAGUCAAGAGGAAAAAGAAUAAGGCAAUGAUGGCCACUUAGAGUGAAAGUGAAGAUGAAUCAUCCGAAGAAGAAAAUGAGAAAGAAGUGGCAAACAUGUGUUUCAUGGCAAUAGAUGAACUUGAUGAGGUAAAAUCUAACCUUAGUGAUUAAGAUAUACAUGAUGCAUUUGAAGAAUUGUAUGAGGAUUUUUAAAAACUUAGUUUGAAAAAUAUUUCUCUUAAAAAGAAAGUUCAACAACUUGACAAAGAACUUAGAGAAGUAAAAGAAAAAUUUUCAAAUGUUAAAGUUUCUAAAACUCAUCUUGAAAAAGAAAAUGAGAUUCUAAGAAAGAAAAAUGAAUAGUUGAACUCCUCUCUUUCAAUCUUUUCUUCUAGACAAAAAUCUUUUGAAAUGAUUCUAACUAGCUAAAAAUGUGUUUUUGACAAACAAGGGUUAAGAUUUAAAUCUUCAAAAAAUCAAAAGUAUUUUAAAAACUAUUUUGUAAAGGAAUCCACAAGUGCAAGUCCUUCCACUACUUGCAACUUUUGUGGAAGAGAAUGGCACAUUAGUAGUACGCCCUUUAAGAAAUGGUUCUCAAAAGAAUUUAAAUGCAAAAACUAAAAAAGAUUUGGAUUGAGAAAUCCAAGGUCACUAACCCUCAAGGACCCAAAAAGAUAUAGGUACCUAAAUCAACUUGAGUUUUAUGUUGUAAGGUUCAAAGAAUGAUAAGUGGUUCUUAGAUAAUGGUUGCUCAAGACACAUGACCGGAGAUGAAUCCAAGUUUGCUUUUCUUAAAAAGAAAAAUGGAGGAUAUGUUACCUUUGGAGACAAUGCAAAAGAAAGGAUGAUUGGUCAAGGCAACAUUGGUAAUGGCACAUCCUCUCUCAUUGAAAGUGUUUUAUUAGUAGAUGGUUUCAAACAUAACCUUUUAAGCAUUAGUCAAUUUUGCGACAAAGGUUUUUAAGUGAUUUUUUAAGCAUCUCAUUGCAUCAUCAAGGAUAUUCAAAAUGAUAAAACCAUUUUCAUGGGCCAUAGAUGUGAUAAUGUUUAUGCUAUAAAUAUUUCAAAAUAUGAUGGCCAUGAUAGAUGUUUUUCAAGCAUGCAUGAUCAAAGUUGGUUGUGCCAUAGGAGAUUGAGACAUGCUAACAUAGACCUCAUUUCCCAACUCAACAAAGAUGAACUUGUUAGAGGCCUUCCCAAAAUAAUUUUUUAAAAAGAUAAAGUUUGUGAAGCUUGUCAAGUGGGAAAGUAAAUCAAAAACUCUUUUAAAAACAAAAACUUCAUUUCCACAUCUAGGCCACUUGAGUUGUUGCAUAUGGAUUUAUUUGGUCCCUCUAGGACACCAAGUCUUAGAGGAAAUUCUUAUGCAUAUGCUAUUGUGGACGACUUCUCUAGAUACACAUGAGUCUUGUUUUUUAGUCAAAAGAAUAAAGUUUUUUAUGAGUUUUCAAAGUUUUGCAAUAAGAUUCAAAAUGAAAAAGGUUUUUCAAUUACUUAUAUAAGAAGUGAUCAUGGGAGAGAAUUCGAAAAUAUUGAUUUUGAAGAGUAUUGCAAUGAGCAUGGAAUUGACCACAAUUUUUUGGCUCUUAGAACUCCUCAACAAAAUGGGGUAGUUGAAAGGAAAAAUAGAACUCUUCAAAAAAUGACAAGAACCAUACUAAAUGAAAACAACUUACCAAAAUAUUUUUAGGCCAAAACGGUUAACACUUCUUGUUAUGUUUUAAAUAGAGUAUUAUUGAGGCUCAUACUUAAGAAAACUCCCUAUGAGCUUUGGAAAAACAAAAAACCCAACAUUAGUUAUUCCAAAGUCUUUGGAUGCAAUAUUUUAUAAUAAACACCAAAGACAAUCUUGGAAAAUUUGAUGCAAAAUUGGAUGUUGGAAUUUUCCUUGGUUACUCAACUUCAAGUAAAGCUUUUCGAGUUUUAACAAAAGAACCAUGGUUGUAGAGGAGUCCAUCCAUGUUAUUUUUUAUGAAUCUCCAAGAAAGAGAGAGGAUUGAUGAUGAUUUAGGUUUGAAGACCUCUAUAGGAAGAUUGCAAAUCGAAGAUAGAAGACAACAAGAAGAAAAUGGAGAGAAUCCAAAGAAAGAAGGAUCACCAUUGGCACUACCCCCUCAUCAACAAGCGCAAGGUGAAUCAAGUCAAGAGCUUCCUAAAGAAUGGAAGUUUGUCAUCAAUCACCCACAAGAUCAAAUUAUAGGCAAUCCAUCUAGUGGGGUAAGAACUAGAUCCUCUCUUAGAAAUAUUUGCAAUAAUCUAGCUUUUAUCUCUCAAAUUGAGCCUAAAAAUAUAAAUGAUGUUUUAGAUGAUGAAAAUUGGAUAAUUGCAAUGCAAGAAGAGUUAAAUCCAUUUGAAAGAAGUGGAGUAUGGGAAUUAGUACCAAGACCUUCAAAUCAAAGUGUUAUUGGAACUAGAUGGAUCUUUAGAAAUAAAAUGGAUGAAAAUAGCAUAAUUGUUAGAAAUAAAGCAAGAUUGGUAGCCCAAGGUUUUAAUCAAGAAGAAAUGAUAGAUUAUGAAGAAACCUUUGCCCCCGUAGCUAGGUUGGAAGCCAUUAGGAUGCUACUUGCCUUUGCAUGUUUUAAAGACUUUGUUUUAUAUCAAAUGGAUGUGAAAAGUGCUUUUUUAAAUGGUUUUAUAAAUGAAGAAGUAUAUGUUGAACAACCACCCGGUUUUCAAAGUUUCAACUUUCCUAACCAUGUUUUUAAACUUAAAAAGACACUUUAUGGUUUGAAACAAGCACCUAGAUCAUGGUAUGAAAAAUUGAGUAAAUUUCUUUUGAAAAAAAUGUUUUAAAAUGGGAAAAAUUGACACAACUCUUUUUAUAAAAACCAAAGAAAAUGAUAUGCUCUUAGUUCAAAUAUAUAUUGAUGAUAUCAUUUUUGGUGCUACUAAUGUCUCUCUUUAUGAAGAAUUUUCUAAGUGCAUGCAUAGUGAGUUUGAAAUGAGCAUGAUAGGAGAACUCAACUUCUUCCUUGGACUUCAAAUCAAGCAACUAAAGGAAUGAACCUUCAUCAAUCAAGCAAAGUAUAUAAGAGAUCUUCUCAAAAGGUUCAACAUGGAAGAAGCCAAAACAAUGAAGACUCUAAUGAGCUCAUCCAUUAAGCUUGAUAAGGAUGAGAAAGGUAAAUCCAUUGACUCUAUUAUGUAUAGAGGCAUGAUAGGUUCUUUGCUCUAUUUGACCACUAGUAGACCUUACAUUAUGUAUAGUGUGUGUUUGUGUACUAGAUUUCAAUCUUGUCUUAAAAAAUCUCACUUAAGUGUCGUGAAAAGAAUCCUCAAAUAUUUGAAAGGGACAAUGGACAUAGGCUUAUGGUAUCCUAAGAGUGAUAACUUUGAAUUAAUUGGUUUUUUGGAUGCUGAUUUUGUCAGUUGUAGGGUUGAAAAAUAAAACACUAGUGGCACUUUUCAUUUCUUAAGACACUUACUUGUCUCAUGGCAUAAUAAGAAGCAAAAUUUGGUAGCUUUGUCAACAGCAGAAGCUAAAUACAUAGCAACUGGUUUAUGUUGUGCACAAAUCCUUUGGAUGAAAUAAACACUUAGUGAUUUUGAUUUAUCUUUUGAGCAUAUUCCUAUUAAAUGUGAUAAUAGUAGUGCCAUAAGUAUAUCAAAAAAUCUCGUGCAACACUCUAGGACUAAGCAUAUAGAGAUUAGACAUAAUUUUCUUAGAUAUCAUACACAAAAGGAUGAUAUAACACUUGAAUUUGUAAGCAUAAAAGACCAACUUGCCGAUAUCUUUACAAAACCUCUAAGAACAUUUUGUUGAUAUUAGAGGACAAUUAGGAGUGAUUUCUUUAUGAUCUAAUGUGAUGAAUUCUUGAUGAAUAUACUUUUUGAUUGCAUGAAUUUCAUGUCAUAUAUGCAUCAUAUAGAAAUAUACUUAGAUAAUGGUCAAAUUUCGACCAAAAAUCAAAAUUCCCAUGGCAUUAGGCAUAAAAAUUUUGGAAUUUCAACUGAAAAUGGUAGGAGGAGGAUCACAAAAUGAGAAAGUAUGCAAAAAUUGAAAAAUCAAAACGUUGACCAAGCGGUCAAUCGGACUAGACCGAUCGACUAGUUUGUCGAGAUUUAGGAUUUUUAAGAGACUCCAACGCUUCAAUUUUUGCACCGUUCUCCUCUAUUUCUUCACGGUUUCUCUGAUUUUGUCUUUUAGAGACUAAUUUGAGUGCGUUUUGGAUCAAUUGAAGCAUUUUGGAUUGGAUUUUAGGAAGAUUGAAAGUUAAGGUUUCGGAUUUGGGUCGCCUUCUCUUCCUCUCGCGUGUCACAAUCAGCUUUAGCAUUGUUCUCUUUCCAUUUUCACACACCUAGGGUUUCAGUUGUGAGCAUCUCUCUCUCUUUACCAACCACUACUCCCUUGCUUCUUCCAUAUGGCUCCUAGGCGAGAGUCCGCUACUUCUAGGGCACAAGGCAAGCACCCAACUGAGUCGUCUCAGUCAAAGGCACGUCGAAAAGUGAGAUUUGACAUUGCCUUGUUCAGUUCCAUGGAGGACUACCAACUAUACAAGCAACACUUUGCUUAGAGACGAGUAGUUCCCAAGAGAAAUAUUAAUUUUCCUCAACUUCAGCAUUUCGAAUUUAAGGGUCUAUUUACUAGGAUGGUUGGUUGUCUAUUGUCACAAUUUCGGAGCCGGUUUUCCUGACCUUAGUGCGAGUUUUUUACUCGAGGGCGACUUAUGGCAUGGGUGGCAUGAUCAUUUCUACUGUUGGAGGAGUUGAGAUCUGUCUGGACCCAGAGAGCAUCUGCCAUAUUUUCGAUAUUGCUCUGGUUGGACUCAAAGUAUACAAGUCCAAAAUGUGGCCCAUUGUGCCAGGAUUUGAGCUUAGAGAGGUCAUUCAGAGGAUUUGUGAACUUCCAGACGCCCAGGAGAUGGGCAAACCAUUGCCACACAGUUUGACGGUCAUCAACAGGGUGCUACACCAUAUAUUGUGCUCUAUCUUUCUACCACGAAGUGGACAUUGAGAUGAGGUCUCUUAUUAUGAGGCAUUCCUUAUUGACUCCAUUCUAACGGAGAGACGAAUUCAUCUACUAUGUCAUCAUUCACUAAGCCUCCUCACAGUGACAUACCACCUCAUCAGGCACCUCUUGCUCCUGACCAUGCUCCAUUGAUGGAUUUAUUUACUCAUAUUAGCUCUCUAGGCACUCGCAUGAAGGAGUUUGUUGUAGUUAGUGAUACAUGGUUCUACUCCAUAGAGGAUCGCAUGGAUCAGUAUCAGACUGGCUUCACGUCACAGUUUGAGUAUCUCCAAUAGAGGAUUGAGCAUAUUGAGGAUCACUUGAGCAUGAGAAGAUGAUGGCUUUUCUAUGCUCUGUGUUUCCACCUCCACCUCGUCAACCUUGAUUUCUUAGAGACCCAUUGUUUUCAUUUUGUAAUGUUGCCAAAAGGGGGAGAUAUUUAGGAUCUAGGACUCUAUAGGAGACUUACAUGCAUAUCAUUUUCAUAUCAUUGUUUGGAUCGUACAUAUUGGAUAGUGAUACUUUUUACUUAUAUAUGAUAUGCCUAUAUGUUUCAUGUCUUACAUUGUUUCUUAUUGCAAAUUAUCUCUAACAUGUCUUGAUUAUCUUUUUUUUAACUUCAUAAAUUUUGAUUGUUAACCCAUGAUUGGUUUGAGGGGAAGAUUCUUCUUCUCCUAGAUAACCAAGGUUUGUCAUCAUAAAAAAAUUGGAGAUUGUUAGCCCAAGGGUUCUCCUAAUCAUGUUUUGAUGAUAACAAACCAUGCUUAAGUUACUAAUUGGUUUGAAUUAUAAAGAAUUUCAAGUGUUAAUUUGAAAAUUCAUCAAAGAACCUAAUGGAUGCAAGAUCAAGAUUUUUGGAAGACCUUUAAUCAUAAGAAACAUAUGUAAGAUGAAUGCAUGGGUGCACUUAAGAUUUGCAUAUCAUUUCAUGCAUAUUUGGAAAACACGGUUUAUGCUUUAAAGUUACAUUUCCAUCAAAAUUUGAGAUCCAUCAAAUGAACCUUAGGAAAAAUGUUUUAAAAUUGGCAUAUAAUUUUACCUAAAGACCUUGCCUAAGUGUUAGAAGCAAAAGGACAAAAAAAAUAUAGGUUUUCUGGUCAAAAAUGGUGAACCAGUCAAGGCAUUGUCUAAAUCAGCUCAAUCGGCCAAGGUACCGGUCGAUCGGUUUCCCUUUCCCUGUCGAGAUCUAGUCAAGAGGUACAAAAAUCACAAUCUCUGUCUCUUUCUCUCUUUGUCUAUCUUCCAGUAGUCUUUCCUUCCCGGUCGAGGGAUUUGCCUUCCCGAUUGAGGUCCGAUUGAGAGUAAUAGUCACUUGCCAAAUAUUAAAUGCUCCAACAGUUAGUGAACUGGUCGACCCCCACCUUGCCCAGUUGAGGUUACUUUUUGGUUUUCUUGGCUCCCGAUGUUAGAAACCUAUAAAUAGAGAGUUCCACUUCAUUUAUGAGCAAGAGAACACUUGCAUUUAUUUGUUUACCUACUUGUUCUUGCCUUAAAAGCUCUCAUUUCUUUUCUUGGUGCAUUAAAUCUCCAUUUUGAUAUCCUUUAGUGCACCUUUGUGAUUCAUCUUAGCCUUGAGUUGUAUUUGAGCCCUUUUUUUAGCUAGGUUGAGAGUUUCAUACUUGUUAAUUGAGUGUUAAAGCCUUCAAGUGAGUUGAAACUUGUAGAGAUUAUGUGAGAGUCGAUUGGAGCCGAAAUCCAAGUGUAAAGGUGAUUAGAAGCUUGGUUGAAGCUUCAAGUUAGUGGAAUCCUCACUCAAUUAGGAGCUUGAGGAGAGUGGACGUAGCCAAGGAAGUGUCGAACCACUAUAAAAUUUGAGUUUGAUUUCUCUAACAUUGUCUCUUUAUAUUUGUUUAUCUUGUGCUUAAAUUUAUUGUGUUUAAAAAGAAUUUUUAAAUACCCAAUUCACCCCCCUCUUGGGUGUUUUUCUCUUUUAAAAUUAGCCUUUAUUUUCUCACAAACUAUUGUAGUAUAGUGGUUUUUAGGUGUCAUCCAUUAGGAUGAAUUGUUCUCGGUAAUUAAGGCGUGAAUGAGAGGAGAAUUAAUGAUUGUGAUUAAGUAAAAUUGAUUUGAAAAUUCAUGGUGAAAAAUCAAUUUAACAAUGGUUUCUAAUUGAGAAAAACAAUGAAAUGUGAAAUAAAAUAAAAUUAAUAGGAAAUGAAAUUCUCGAAGUUAGAAUUUUCUAAAAAACAAAUUCCAUGGUGAAUGGAUGUUGAGAUCUAAUUUUCAUCAAGUUAGAUUGAAAACCGAAAUUUUCAUAUAAACUGAUUUUUUAUUUAGUUUUAGGUCUAGAUUUAAUUUCCCUUAAAAUUAGGUUAUUUAAUCCAAGAAAUCAAUUCAAAUCAUAUAUUCAAUUCAUCUUAAAUUAUCUUCCAAUUAUUCACACAAUGCAACUAUUCAAUCUCAUCAAAUCUAGCUUUUAAGAAUUUAAUGAAUCUACCUAGUUUGCAUUGUAAUAGUCAUCCAUGACAAUUUGAAGAGAAAAAUAAUUCAAUUAAUCAAUCACUUGGAUCAAAUUACCUUUGCAAUUAAAGUUCAUUUCUCUAAUUCACCACAGAUUUUGUCUCUAGAUCCUCCUUUCUCAAAGAAAAAUGAGAUUUAGCCACACAUGAUUGGAGAUUUGGUCUCAUAAGGCAUGUUUAGCUAGUGAUAAAAUGAGAGAAAAUAAAGAAAAAUAGAGAAUUCGAUUAAGAAAGAAAAUCUAAAAAAUUCUACAAUUAGAAAUGUCCAAAAAGCUUUUUCAUGAGAAAAUCAAGUUUCUAUUUAUAGGCCAAGGUCAAGUGGACACUUGACAUCAUCUAAGAGGUCUUCCGGAAGCUUCUUCAUCAAGAAAUCUGGAGUUUAAUAAUAAAAUGGUCAUUUCACAAGAGCUCAAACAAUUUCGCAUGAUUAUGUGAAAUAAAAAAUGCAACAACAGCAAUUUACAUCUUCUUGGAGCAUUUCGCAUGACUGUGUGAAAUUUUCACAUGAUCAUGUGGAAUCGACUUGACAACUCUCAUUUAGCCUACAACAUAAUUCCACCUUUUGGUCCAUUUUUCAUAGUCAUGCGAAAUGGAAAUAUUUGAUUUUUAAGUUUUCUUUUGUCAUUUCUUUCAUUUCCUUCUCUUGAUUCCACUUCAACUACCUCCGAAUCCUGGUCCAAACCAAUUGCAUUACUUCUUUCAUUAUGCAUUUGGAUCAUCAUCAACAUUAUUUGUUCUCUUCAAUUUGAUUCAUCUCUUUUGUCACCAAUUUAUCAAAAUCAUACCUUGAAAUGACUCCAAAACUUCAUAAAACUUGUUAGUAACUCUUGCAAGGGCAACAACAUAUUAAUUAAGUGUUUUAGGCAUAGUUACUACUCAAAAGAUGCGAAACUCAUGAUAAUUAUUAUAUAAAAUAUGCUCUUUUUGAGUAGUAAUCAACUUUCUUGCAUAAGCAGACCUUUUAGGGUGGAGUACUAAAGACCAAUAUGCUUGUCCUUGUUGUAAUAAAGAAACUUGCUCUUAUUGAUUGCACCAUGGGAGAAAAUUUUGCUACAUGAGUUAUCAUCAAUUUCUUCCCACCAAUCAUAGAUUUAGACGUGACAAGAGGCCUCUUAAUGGCAAGGAGGAACUGACACUCACACUUAUACAAUUAUCGGGCAUUGAUGUGUUGCAACAAUUAGAAUAACUUACACCAAUUAUGUUGGGGAAGUCACAAAAGGCAAACAUGAAAACUAAAAGGAAAAAAGAAAAAUGUUACAUAUCACCACAACUGGAAAGAAAAAAGUAUUUACUUUCAUUUGCCAUAUUGGAAAGCACUUAUUUUACAUCAUAAUAAUUUAGACAUAAUGCAUAUUGAGAAAAAUGUGUGACAAUAUAAUUGAGACAUUGUUCAGUAUUGACGAAGAAACAAGGACAACCUAAAUAGUCAUCUCGAUUUACAAGCUCUAACUAUUAGAAAUGAGAUUCACCCAAUAGAAAGCAGGACCAAAUUUAUUUUGCUUGCAACAUGCUACUCACUCACCCCAAAUGAGAUUAAGGAAUUUUGCAAGUUUUUGAAAUCAAUAAAGGUCCCCAAUGGCUAUUCUUUCAAUAUCUCUCGUUAUGUGCAACUCAAUGAAAGGAAGAUAUAUGAGCUCAAAUUGUAUGAUUGUCAUGUCCUAAUGCAACAACUUCUCUCACUUGUAGUUCGUGGAGUUCUACAUAAGAAUGUUUGUGGAGUUAUCAUAGAAUUGCGUAAUUUUUUCAAGCAAUUGUGCUCAAAGGUGUUAGAAACAAAUCACUUACACCAACUUGAGAACAAUAUUAUUGUCAUACUAUGUAAAAUGGAGCAAAUAUUUCUUCCAUCAUUCUUUGAUAUUAUGGUGCAUUUACUUGUGCAUCUAGUAAGGCAAAGGUUGCAAGACUUGUGCAAUAUUGUUGGAUGUACCUAAUUGAACGAUAUUGUUAUAAUUUCAUAUGAAUCAUUUAAUUUUAUUUUAUAUUAUGUUCAGUUCAUUAACAUGUACAUUGGUCUACAUAUGGAUGAUGAUAGGUACCUAAGCACUUUAAAGUCAUAUGUGCGUAAUAGAACUUUUCUAGAAGGUUCUAUUGUAGAAAGGUACCUUGCAAAAGAAUGUACAACAUUUUAUUCUAGGUACUUGAAUGAUGUGGAAAUAAAGUAUAAUCACAAUGAUAGAAACUUUGUUGGUUUCAACACUAGAGGAGAUGAAAGGGGUUAUCUUUAAACAUAUUGGACAUGCAUUGGGAAAGCCCAUAUUUCAUUAACUUAGUUCAAAAGAGUGGUCACAAGCACAUUUAUAUGUGUUGACAAAUUGCGAAGAUGUCAUACCAUUCAUUGAGUAAAAAAUUUAUUUGAAUUUUAAUUAAAGCUCUAGUUUAUAUCCUUAAUCAAUGUUUUUUAAAUUCACAAGGAGCACAAGCAAACCAUCAAGGCUAGACCACAUAUACGUGUUUGAGACGUAGAUUUAAUUCAUAACAAGGAAUUUAUCAAGUGGUUUGAAAGACAUGUAAGUAUAUUCCUUAUUAUAAGGGAUUUAUUUCACAUUAUGUUUAUAUUGAAUCCAAACCUAUUAUUGAAUUGUAGGUUGAACAAUUACAUAAUGAAGGUCAUAUAUCUGAACACCUUCUCACAUUAUCAUGUGUUCCAAAUUCAUUAGUUACAUGCUUCAAAUGAUAUAUUGUCAAUGGAUUUAGAUCCCACAUUAAAGAACGUGAUAAAAAAGUUUUUAAAAAAAGACUCAGAAUAAUGGAAUUGUUGUAGUUGCAAAAACGUCAAGCUUUACAAGUGCAUGUGAUAUGAGUCCAAUUAUUAGUGAUGCUCUCUACUAUGGUGUUCUAACUAAAGUUGUUGAGUUACAUUAUCUUGGUGAAAAUAAGGUUGUUUUAUUCGAGUUUGAUUGGUGGGAUGUUACAAAUAUUGGAAAAUUGAUAAAAGAUGAUGAGUACAAUUACACAUUUGUUAACUUUGCAUGAAUUCUAACCACGAACGAACGAUUUGUACUUGCAUCUCCAGCAAAGUAAGUGUUCUAUGUGAAGAAUGCGAAUGAAUCAGAUUGGCAUACUAUCAUGGAGAUGCAACCUCAAGACCUCUAUAAGAUGAACGGGAUAGGAUCCAAUGGUGAUUUUGAACCAUUUCAACAAAGUGAACUACAUGAUCACUAAUAUAUCUCAGAUUUAGUUGAUGAAGAUAUAAUCAAGUGGAACAAAAGUGAUGUUUUAGGACUAAUCAUCCUAAAAAAUAUUGUAGUUUCUUAAAAAAAAAAUGAAAAUGAAGAAGAUAAUUGAACCUUUGUCAUACUUUAAAAAGCAACUAUGCAUUGUUCAUUUUGUAUGUUUUGGUUUUCUUCAUUUAAUUUCCUGAUUUUUGUGAUUCAAUGUCAUAUUAUUGAUCUUGAAAUAUUUUUCUAAUUUUUCAUUCUACGAUGGUUUCAACAAGGAUGACAUCAAGUCAAAAAAGGAAAUGUGGUCCCACACACAAUAUUGCAUUACAGGGAUUAAGGUCAGGGAAGAAGGUAAAAGUUGCAUUUAAUGAGUACAAUCAAUUGGUUAAACAGAAAAAUGGAAAACACUUAUCGAGCUACAUAGGGACACUUGUAUCUAACCAACACAAUGUACCUCUCCAAGCUAGUGAUUGGAAAAAUGUUCCAAAUGAUGCAAAAGAGAAAGUAUGGCCUUUGUUUUGGUAUGUUGUAUUUCUCACUAUAUGAUGUCAUUUCACUGUUAUUCUAUUUUGUGACUAACGUUUGAAUCAUAUGUAAGAAAAAUUUGAAGUAGAUAAAGACUGAAAAGAUUACAUGUUGGGUAUAGCCUCAAAUAAAUAUAGAAGCUAUAAAAAUAUGAUGAAUGCAAAAUACUAUGACCCUUGGCAUAAGGAUGCAUGAGGAGAGGUUAAUACAUAAAUCACCAUUUGUCUCUGAUGUUGAUUGGAAGUGGCUUGUCUCUGAUGCAUAAACCAAAUCCCCCACUGAAUGUUUGAUAUUUGAUAGCAGGAAAAACACACCCGCAGCUAUACACCUCCAUCAUUCAGAUAAUUAUAGUGGGGGAGAUGAUUCAUGGUUGCCCUUAUACCCUUUAUUUGCACCAUCUAUUGAGAUUCUUUAUCAUGGCCAGGUUUUACUGCAGCAAUAAGAUAUGGUGGCAACAAUUUUAUCUAUAGGUGCGGUUCCAGACCGCCUCCAUAGGUGCGGUUCCUGACUGCCUCCAUAGGUGCCUCUUCUUGUAAUGUUUGUUCUGGGAAUUACACUUGAAAGCCUUAUCGUGAUAAGGGAUUACAAACACUAGUUCAGAGGACAGCCAUGUUAAACUUCCACUAUGUUUGUGUCACAUUAUCAGCAGCCUAGUGUUUAUUGGUCAUGCUAUCUGCAACUAAUAUAACCCGGUGAACUUCAAUCUAAAUUCUGAAAGUACUCAUGUGACAGAUGGUGCCUUUCAGCAGAUAUCAUCAAUUUAAAAGUAGUGUGUGUGCCUAUAGGUGGGAAGGCCUUGGCAAAUGUUCAGUAUUCCGGUAAUUCAAGAAGGAUAUAUCUAAAAUAGAUUUUCUUCUUGCCCAUUUCAAUAGUUAAAAUUUGAGAAGAUUGUGUCCACAUCACACAAAUAUUAUUGGUCCUUCUGUUGCAAUUUACCUCUGAACAUGUCUUCCAAUUCCCACGGUCCUGUUACUCCAGGAAAACUAUUUCGGUCAUAUUGAAAAAAAAAAUAUUAAAGAAGGUACACAUGCUUUUAAGUGGACUGGGGCAUUCAUAUCAGGUGGUCUGUAUCCACAUAUGCCACUUCGUGAAAGGUGGAACAGCCUAAUCACUAGGCUAUUUAGUGUGGCCCAGCCACGUUAAUCAAGCACAAGUCUUCAUACUUAAAGUCAAAUGGUGUCUUUAGUCUCAUUACACAUCGCUAUUUGAAGAUUAACUCAUCACUAGUGUAAUGCGAUUAAGACAGUCCUAACUCAAUAUUUGUUCUAGUUUUGGAUGCAAAUGCUUGCUGGUUUCAUCAUUGGAUGGGAUAAAGGUGCAAUCAGGACUAUGAAUACGUGCAGUAAUACUUCAUUCUCUUUUUUCUCAAUGAGACUUCUUGGCACAAUUUUGCUGCUCAGCAACCUACCUUUCCAUGGAAAAUCAGUUGUGACUGAUAGUAAUGGAUAUAUUCUAGAAAGCUAAACAUAGAUAGCAUUCAAUAUUAUCGAUAUAACAUUAACAGCGUAUGUCUCAAUGCUCAUCAGCUACAAGCAAUGGACAAACACUUUGAGUAACUCACAGCAGUCAAAAUUCCUAAACAGGACAGACGUGACAGAUCUAUAUAUAGAACACUGCAUAUGAGUCACAGGAAAAGAUAAUACGGGUACAUAGAAGCUCUUAUUUUACAUAUUACUCAUACUGAUCAAAGUCGCUCAGUUGGGAUGGAUGGGAGAAGGAGGUUUGAGGGGUGGCUUGUGCGGGGAAGUUGGCAGCUUCUUUCCGGGAGCUGGUUGCUUCUUUGCUGGAGUUGAAGGAGGCUUAAUCUUCCGAGGUGGCUUGUAUGAGUCUUCAGCAUUCUCAGCAGGAGGGUGACCAGGGUUGUGACCAUAAUGUGGUGGCUUCUCUCCCUUAGGUGGUUUGCCAACUGGGGUUGGUGGCUUGUUUUCUGGGAGUGGCUUCUCUCCCUUGGGUGGUUUGCCAACUGGGGUUGGUGGCUUGUGUUCUGGGAGUGGCUUCUCCCCCUUGGGAGGUUUUUCGAAUGGGGUGGGUUUGUGUCCUGGUGGUGGCUUCUCUCCCUUGGGAGGUUUACCAAUUGGGGUCGGUGGCUUGUGUUCUGGGAGGGGCUUCUCUCCCUGGGGAGGUUUAGUGGGUGGCUUGUGUUCUGGAGGUGGCUUCUCCACCGGAGGCUUAUGCUCUGGUGGUGGCUUCUCGAAGGGGGGAUGCUCAGGGUAAUCACCAAGUGAGGGGGUGGUGAGAACCACCAUGCCAAGCAACAACACUAGCAAGUAUGUAGUAGACAUCUUUGGGUUUGGACUCAGACAGUGCAAAACUACGAGAAAUCGCUAGCCCUUUAUAGCGGCUCGGACCUAAUACUGACAUAAUAUAAAAUAAAUAUUAUAUUUUAUCAAGAGAGAACAGAGUGUAAUUUUAUCAUUAAUACCGAUCGAGGCCAAAGAAAGAAGACCCAUAAUCCAUUUCCCACAAGCAUACACAAUGCAGCUGUAAUUUUAUCAUUUACUUUUAUCCCUUGGACCACUGCAUUUUUGUUGAGAGACACAAUAACACAUUUUUAUCUGUCAUUCAACAUUUACAGUAAAGAGAGGGCACAAAACGCAAUUAGAUAAAUUAUGUUUUGCCUGCUAAAAAGAGGCAAAUAACUUUAUUUGCAACAUAAUUAUUUUGGUUUCUAGUGACCCCGGGGCCUUUCGGUUGGUUUGGGAUCGGAAAAUGAACAUCAUAGGGGGGGUUGUGCCCUUAUGGGCAUAUAUAUCUGAUAGCUUCAACUGGCCUUGUUCCUAGAAAGAAAUUGCCAAAGAUAUAAACUUAUUCCAGGCUGAAAGUAGAUGAGAGUCAUAAUGAACAUCAACCUUUGUUCAGUUUGAUUCAAUGCCCCCAUAGUGUUCAUUUCACAGAUCUGAAUGAUUAUAUCCGUUGAAUACAUAAAUUAAUGAAGACAAAUAUGAAACCCAAGAUACAUCUCUGCAUAACAACCCCAACCCUGGUUGCUAUGUUUCCCUUCUUCUAUUCACAUGAGGAUACUGGUUAUAAUUGUCAAACUUGCAACAAGCCCUUUGACACCUAACGUCAAUGGACGAAUUAAAAGUCUCCUUCAAACGUCUAUUUCACAGCAUGAAGCUUAUAAAGGAUGCUGACAACCUUCAGAGUUAGCGACAAAAGAUAAUUAUCAAGGAGAGAUAGUUCCAUGAGAAUUCCAAGGAGUCUGAAUCAAAGACAAAUUGCUCACUCAAGGGUUCUUAUUUUCUUUUAGGUACAAAUCUCUUGAGUGUUGUUAAAGAAACACGUCACUGUCAUUUUGAUUUGCAUUUAACAUUUCACUUUUGUUCUGGAAGGUUUGUUCCGGAAACAUAUCAAAUGAGCAUCAUUUUCUUCUUCGGUGACACAUGGUCGCGAGUACGUGGGUCCAUUUUCAUGCCACUUAGUUGAAAAGUUGGAAAGAAAAAACAUGCCAACAAGAAGAUAGUGAGAGAAGGGGCACUUCAAGCCUUUAACAUGAACAAACAGUAAAUAAAAGAUGUUUCUCCACUCAUAAAAGUGUGUUAGAUAGCAAUAUAACGAAUCACAUCCAAAAUCUUUACUAGGCUCAAACAUAAAGAAGACUCAUUUUUAAGAAAAGAUAAAAAUGGCAUUGUCUGAUAGUAUCCAAUACACGAGAUGGCACUUAAUUUGUACAAGAUCUGUCAAUGCUGACGCACAUUUUCUGAUUAAAAAAAAACUGAUCAGUCAAAAGCAAUGAAGAGAAGUGAUGACAAUGAAUGAUGCUUCCAAUAUUUUCACCCCUUAUAGUGUUCUUCAUGAUUCAGAUAUAUAAUUGGAAAUAGAACAACCCUAUGCCAUACAUUCGUCUAAGUAUGGUGUCUAAUUUUUUGUGUCAGCGGUUGCGAAUGGAGCGUGCAAAAGUCCAAAUUGGCGUCUCUCCAUUUCCACAUAGGAAGGUGACCUUUAUUGACAAAUACCCAAUAUUUGUAGACAUUCCUUAAAUAUCAUAACUUCUUGUUGAUUUGAAAAUCAUUUUUCAACUACCAUGUUUUAAUAAAUAUUUUUUAAAAUGUAUUUUUAUCAAAGUCCACCAUGAUGGAUAAUAUUCACCAUGCAAUAAUUAAUAAAGUACAAACUAAGCGAAAUGAAAAGCAUUUUCUUUGCUUUGAGUUGAUUUUGGUUGCAUUGAGUUGAUUUUGGUUUCAUGGUUUUUUCAACUCUUAUUUUGAUUGGAAGAUGUCAAGAAAAGAAAACAUAAAGAAAAAUUAAAAGGGAAAAAAGAAGAAAAAUAAAAAAAAAUAGAUUUAAAAGUUAAUAAAUUAUUUUUUAUAUUUAUUUUAAUUCAUUUCACUUAUUUUUCUUUUACUAUAUAAAAUUUAAAUAAUUUAAAUUUUAUAAUUAAUUUAAUUACAUUUCAUUUUCUUCUAUAUUUAAAUAUUGGAAAAAUAUUUUACUUAAUAUUUUUUUCUUUAAUUUCUUUGGCAUUUUGGGAACCAAACUUAGCCUUUAAAAUAAAAAACAAAAAAAAAAUGAAAAUAAGGAGGGAAAAGUGAGAAAAGAUAAAAACAAUAUGUAAAGGAUUUGAAAAGUAUUAGUUUGUAAUUACUAUUUGGAUUUCAAUAGUAUUUUAUUUGUCUUUCUAUAUUUCAUGUAAGAGAGAAUUUAAGAUAUUCCCCAAGGCAAAGCAUUAGUUACCUGCAAUCAGUGGUGAUAAGGCUCCAAGCCAAUUUUGGGCCCCAUAUCUUAAGACAGUACAAUUUCCAUUUCAACAUUUCUGAUUUCUCAGAUGUUUCACAUACCACAGAAGAACAUUGUUUGUGAAAAUAUGCAUUUAUGUUGGAUUUUGUAUGCUGUGGGGACUGGGGCAAGGAUCAUAUGGAAGAGUGGUUGACUUUUUCUGUACUUUAACGGUUGAAAUAGGAUAAGCACGGGCAUUUGUGAGGCUUAAUUGAUUUUGAAGCCUGAAAUUGCGUUUCUGUCAUUUUGUCAAAAAAAUGGCAGAUUCCAUACUCAUAUGUUUGGCCUGUGGCCAUGUACAGAUGCCAUUUAGUGACCAGUUUGUAACUGUCAAUCGUUGCGUUUUGACUCUGCCUCAACAACAUCUGCCAUUGACGGGUUUUCAUACUUGCAAAUCAAAUAGUCUUUCGUCCCAUCAGGAAUUUCGGUUUAAAUAUUAUUAAGCAUACGUUUGGCUGACAAUCAUUAUCCAGUUCAUGAUUUGGUUUCUUACCCUUAAUCAAUGGUUUCUAAGUGAAUAUAUGUAGAAGGAAAUCCGAAGUGUAGACAGUAGUAUCGAUAACUCUCAAUAUUCUCUAUAUAAUAGAAUAAACAGCGUCAUAGUGAUCGUCGCCUACAAGCAAGGUACAAAUACCAAAACGAGUGACUCACAUAGACAUCUCCCAACAAGAUGUAGUAGUGACUGACACAUGGACACAAUUAACUCGUAGAAAAGGAUAAGACCAUUGCACAGCAGCUCUUAUUUUACAUACUACUUAUGCUAACCAAAGUCAAUUAGUUGGGAUGGGUGGGAGAUGGAGGUUUGUGCGGUGGCUUGUGGGGCGGAGUUGAUGGCUUCUUUCCAGGAGCUUCUGGCUUUUUCAUCGGAGCUGAAGGAGGCUCAAUCUUAUGAGGCGGCUUGUAUGAGUCUUCUUUACUCUCGACAGGAGGGUGGCCAGGGUUGUGAUCAUAAUGUGGUGGCUUCUCUCCCUUAGGUGGCUUGCCAACUGGGGUUGGUGGCUUGUGUUCAGGAAGUGGUUUCUCUCCCAUGGGAGGUUUAGCAAUUGGGGUUGGUGGCUUGUGUUCUGGGAGUGGCUUCUCUCCCUUGGGAGGUUUAGUAGGUGACUUGUGUUCUGGAGGUGGCUUCUCCACCGGAGGCUUGUGCUCCGGUGGUGGCUUCUUGGUUGGAGGGGGCUUGGGGUAAUCAGCAAGAGAUGGGGUGGUGAGAACCACCAGUCCAAGGAACAACACUAGCAAGUAUGUGGGAGACAUUUUUGAGUUUGGGCUGAUCAGAUGAUGCAAAACUAAAGCAUUACGUGACCUUUUAUAGCAUGUAGCUCCCAAUACCCACUAAGUAUUGUGGGGUCCAUUUGUGCCCUACGGGGUUGAAAACUUAGACAAUUGGGCAAGGACCCACCUGACUAUGGAGGACUAGUGAGGUGUGAUCAUAGCUUUAGGAUUUUUCUUCCUCUGCAGCCGUCGUGCCGUUGGCAUGAUUUUCUUAAUCUUAAAUAAAGGCAUAGUUAUAGAGUUGUUUAAUCUCUAAAUGGGAUUUUAUAUAUAUCUUCAGAUAGCCAUUAAUAUAUUUGAUGAAGAAAGAAAGACAAGUGCAUACAACAUGUAUACGACUAGCUUUCAUGGAGUUCAUUUAUGAUCAGUUUUCCUGUACAUGUAAACCAGGAUCAUAUAUAUGUUUCUGUUCCACAACUAUUUUGGAAUCUUGUUUAUCAGUUUUUAUCAUUAUAAUGUCACAUAGGCUGCCAACUUGGGCGCUAAAAGAACCAGUUGGGCUAGUUCGUUUCAGAAUUUCAAUGUGGAUUCAGGAAUUGUUUUGUAAGAUAUGCGAAAUAGUAGAGGGAUGAAUAGUGUUUCAUUAAUAAAAGUGUCCUGUAAAUUAGAAGGUGUCAUAGAAACUAUAAUCAAUAAAUAACUUUUUUUCCCCACGGGUGGUGUUUCUUGUGGGGAUCAGUGACUGGUUUAGGUUCACCCAAAAUGAGUUCAGACUAAAAUUGGUUUGAGUCAAUGCCGUGUCUCUUUUUUCCAGAAAUCAACUAUUUUAUGCAUUGAAUAAAUCAUACAAAGAAAAUAUGAACGCCCGCAAAACCUAAACCCUGGUUGCUAACUUUCUAUGUUUCAGUUCUAUUCACGCAAGAAUAUUAGUUUAAGUUUGGGAAAAAUGGCAACUUACCUAGUGAUUACUUGGUUUUGGUUUGCGACUAUUUACGCAACCAACCAUGAGUUUGACUUUAACGUCAUGGGUUGAAGCCUCCUACAGGAAGGGAGAAAGCUCCACAGCUAGCUCCAAAAGAGAAUUAUCACAUUGAUAGCUCCAGAGAUUCCCAAGGGGACUGAAUCAAAGACAAGUUCCUCACUUUUUCUUCUUUUGAGGCCAAAUAUGAACCAAGGAUCACACAACCUCAUUCAACUUCAUAAGUUUGAUUUCAUGCAGUUGAACACUGGGUGAAGGCCAUGACAAGAAUUGAUUCAAAAAUUCUAUCACUCUUUUAAGUAAUGGAAGAUUAUUAUCUCUGAUUGGCAUCACAACAGCACAUGCUCCUAGAUCUUUCUAGACACUCCAUGCAAUGAAAGCACAAUGGAUCUUGUAACGAUAGAAACUAAGCCAUGCUACAGUACUAGAUGAUGAGGUAAAACUAGUAGACACGGGUGGCAGCCUAUAUGGGAGGGACACAAGUCUAAUUGAUUUGCAUUUCAGCAUUAUAGAUAGGUAUGUUUUGGAAGAUUUGUUCUGGAAAUACCGCACCAAGUAGGAUUCUUUUUCUCUUUAGUGGGUCCACUUGCAUGCCAAUUAACGAGUUGAAAAGUAUGAGCACCUACCUCGUGCUCGUGGAACCGAAGGUCAGUGAAGUGGGGCUCCUUUUGGCCUCGUGUAAACUUGAUUCAGAAGUGAAGUUAAUAGUCUUCCAUUCAGAUGGAUACAUGGGAAUUUUUCUCUUUUAUUUAUUUAUUUAUUUUUUUUUUGUGUGUGUAUGUCAAAGGAUAAUGAAUGAAGCGCGUUAGCUUGUUUUCUGACUGGAACCGCAGAUGUCCAAAUUGGAGUUCCUUCAUUUCUUACUUAGGAUUGUUACAUGUAUAAACAAGGUAUAAGAAAUAUGCCAACGUGUCUUGAGGAGUUAUUGAUUAGAAAUAACAAGUCACCCGACUGUAGAGUUCCAAGAUUUGAAUCUUCAGACCCUAUAGCAGCCUCUGGGGUACGUGGCAUCCUAUAGCAUAUUAAUGAAGGCUUUUUCGAUUUAGACUUCACAAUACCAAUUAAUAUGUAUGCACAAAAUGGAGAUGACCCCAAAAAAAACAGAAUCGCCAUAGUUUAUGAGGUUAAGGUGAUUCUCCACUUAAUAUCUACAUUAGCUAAUUAUGUAAAUCAAAUGAACUUCUAUUUUUCCUUUUUUUUUUUGGUUUAUGUCAAAUAGUAGCCCAUAAUUAACCCAACCAUUAGCCUGUUUGAAUUGAUUUCACAUGCACAAUGUUGUAGUAGUUCAUAUUUUGAAUUUUAUUUUUACAAAGGUAGUUAAGGAAAAUGAAGUAUAAUAAUUAUAAAAGCAGACUAUAUACACUACAAUAAUUGUUAGAAUGGUAUCUCAAAUUCUAAUUUAAAAUAUUAUUUUUUGUAAAAGAAAUAUUAUAUAGAAUAUUUCCUAAUUUUAUAAAUGAUUAUAAUUAGAUCUUUAUAAAAUAAGGAAAGUUGGUAAGAAUAUCUUUAUAAAUAUUUUAGGUCAUGAGAGAAAGAAAUGGGAUAAAAAUGUGAUGAAGAGGUGAAAUAAGAGAGUUGAUUAGGAUAUAGAUGUGAAGAAGAAAGGGAUUCAAUAUAUAUAUAUCUUUCAAUUACCACAUUAAAACCCUGUGAACCUUUUAUAUGGUUUACUUUAUUUUUAUAUUCCUCCUUUAAUAUAUUUACAUUAAUGCUUCCAUUGGCACAACAAUAACGAAUUACAAAUACAAGCAACAAGUCCCAUGUUUUAUUACCAAAAGCAGGUAAAAUCCACCUAAUAUAUUACAAUAUAUUCAUCCAAUAUUUUAGACCAAUUCUUCACCAUAAAUAUCAUAAUGUGGCUUUUGUUCUUUCUUAAAUUUAAAUUGAAUUGUCUUAUAUCAAUUUGUUUGUGAUUUUUUCAUUAACUUCACUUUCAUUUGGUUAUCUUUGGUUUUUGAAAAGUAUUAAGGAAUUAAUUAACAAAAUAAUGUUAAGAAAAAUAAUUUUCUCUCUUUUGAUUUUGAUUUUGUAGUAGAAAAAUAUAAUUAAAAUUAUUUAAAAAGUAUGUAAUUUUAAAUUAUUUAAUAUUUAGAUAAAAAAAAUAAGUCUAAUGAGUUUAAAAUAACAUAUAAAAAUAAUUUAUUUAUUUUAAAUUUAUUUUUUAUUUUCCAUUAUGUUCUCUUUCUCUUUUACUUUUUCAUAUUUUUUCUUACGAAGAAUCAAACACAACCUCAUAUUAUAUGUCAAGUGUUUGUCUAUAUUUGAGCAAUGUUAGAUACGGCCAUGGAUUCAUCAAACUAAACUGAUUUUAAUAGAUACUUCACAAAUUGAUUUAUACACUAAAUCAUUGGAUAGCAAUGAUGCAUUGGAAUUAAACGUAGGAUGAAGCUCGAAGAACACUGUUUGUGUAACAACAUAUUUAUGAAAUUAUGCAAAGGAUGAGCUUCGGGGUAGUAGUACAAGGUCAUUAAUGGAGAGCCGUGUUAAACCUUGAUUGUGAUUGGAUUCCGUUAUCAGCAACAGCAACCUUGUUUGUAACCUUGAAAGUCAUUCUGUCCACAUCGAAACUCCAAUUUGACGUUUGUAAUUACCAUUCCUGGAGUGUUCCUUGAUUGAAAUUUAAAUAAUAAUUGCGGCCCACAAGGAAUAUUUUCGAUUCUGUGGGAAUUUGACAAGGUUUGUUAGAGAAGACUGGUGACAUGUUGACUUCAAUGGUUCAAAUAGGAGACGUAUGUGGAUUUGGGGGGUUUAAUUGAAACUGAGUCCCUAUGGCUUUUUAAUAUUUGCAUUGAGCAGUCUCCAUGUGACUUCCUAAUUCCCACCAACCCUCCUGUCCAUGCUGUGAAACUAAAUUGUAAUUUAUCAGCCUUUGUCAAUGGUUUCUAAAUUAAAGAUAUAGACCAUGCAUGUACUUUAAUAAAAGCAAAUCUAAAGUGUAGAUAGCAGCAAUGGUGACACCCAAUAUUCUCCAUAAAAUAGAAUUAGAAUAAGCAGUGUUACAUUGUUCAUGAUCACCUACAAGCAUACAAGAACUUCCAUGAAUAACUCAUAGCAAUUGCCAACAGGGCGUCGUAGAGACUCAUACAUAGAACACUAUCCACCCAGAGGAAAGGACAAGACCAGUGCGCUGCAGCUCUUAUUUUUCACAUGUAUACCACCACUCGUAAUAACCAAAUUCACUCAGUUGGGAUAGGUGGGAGAUGGUGGUUUGUGGGGUGGCUUGUGGGGAGGAGUUGGAGGAGGCUUUAUUUUCUGAGGCGGCUUGUAUGAGUGUGCAGGAGGAUGCCCGGGAGUGUGACCAUAAUGUGGUGGCUUCUCUCCCGUAGGUGGUUUGCCAAAUGGGCUUGGUGGCUUCUCUCCCUUAGGAGGUUUACCAAUUGGGGUUGGUGGCUUGUGUUCUGGGAGUGGUUUCUCUCCCUUGGUAGGUUUGCCAAUUGGGGUUGGCGGCUUAUGUUCUGGGAGUGGCUUCUCUCCCUUGGGAGGUUUGCUAAUUGGGGUUGGCGGCUUAUGUUCUGGGGGCGGCUUCUCUCCCUUGGGAGGUUUGCCAAUUGGAGUUGGCGGCUUAUGUUCUGGGAGUGGCUUUUCUCCCUUGGGAGGCUUGCCAAUUGGGGUUGGCGGCUUAUGUUCUGGGGGUGGCUUCUCUCCUUUAGGAGGUUUGCCAAUUGGAGUCGGCGGCUUAUGUUCUGGAAGUGGCUUUUUUCCCUUGGGAGGUUUGCCAAUUGGGGUUGGCGGCUUAUGUUCUGGGGGUGGCUUCUCUCCCUUGGGAGGUUUGCCAAUUGGAGUCGGCGGCUUAUGUUCUGGGAGUGGCUUCUCUCCCUUGGGAGGUUUUGUUGGUGGCUUGUGUUCUGGAGAUGGCUUCUCCCCUGGAGGCUUGUGCUCCGGAGGUGGCUUCUGAAAUGGCGGGGGCUUGGGGUAAUGAGCAAGAGAUGGAGUACUGGUGAGAACCACCAUUCCAAGCAACAAUACUAGCAA
rnacentral:lncRNA from 1 species